rnacentral:rRNA from 1 species
GGAAGUAAAAGUCGUAACAAGGUUUCCGUAGGUAAACCUGCGGAAGGAUCAUUACAGAGUUAGGGUCUUCUCGGCCCGACCUCCCAACCCUUUGCUUACUUAACUAUUGUUGCUUCGGCGAGCCCGUCAUCUUUUGAUGACCGCCGGAGGGCCGUGAUACGCUCUCUGGUCCGCGCUCGUCGGUGGCCAACCAUUUUUAAACGCUUAAAUAAACGUGUCUUUAUCUGAGUACUAUAUUUAAAUAAAAGCAAAACUUUCAACAACGGAUCUCUUGGUUCUGGCAUCGAUGAAGAACGCAGCGAAAUGCGAUAAGUAAUGCGAAUUGCAGAAUUCCAGUGAGUCAUCGAAUCUUUGAACGCACAUUGCGCCCUUUGGUAUUCCGAAGGGCAUGCCUGUUCGAGCGUCAUUAUCACCCCUCAAGCCCCCGGCUUGGUGUUGGAUGGUUUGGUGACAGUGCCUGUUGGGCAACGGUCACCCCUCCCAAAGACAAUGACGGCGGCCUCGUUGGACCCCCGGUACACUGAGUUCCUUACCGAACACGUACUGGAUCCAAGGGCCCACGGAGCACGGUCUGCCUCCCCUCAGGGAGAACUAUUUUCUCAAGGUUGACCUCGGAUUCAGGUAGGAAUACCCGCUGAACUUAAGCAUAUCAAUAAGCGGAGGA